rnacentral:rRNA from 1 species
GUGAGGAAUAUUGGACAAUGGGCGCAAGCCUGAUCCAGCCAUGCCGCGUGCAGGAAGACGCAUCUAUGGUGUGUAAACUGCUUUUGUACGGGAAGAAACACUCCCUCGUGAGGGAGCUUGACGGUACCGUAAGAAUAAGGAUCGGCUAACUCCGUGCCAGCAGCCGCGGUAAUACGGAGGAUCCAAGCGUUAUCCGGAAUCAUUGGGUUUAAAGGGUCCGUAGGAGGUUUAAUAAGUCAGUGGUGAAAGCCCAUCGCUCAACGAUGGAACGGCCAUUGAUACGGGUAGGCUUGAAUUACAAGGAAGUAACUAGAAUAUGUAGUGUAGCGGUGAAAUGCUUAGAUAUUACAUGGAAUACCAAUUGCGAAGGCAGGUUACUACUUAUGGAUUGACGCUGAUGGACGAAAGCGUGGGGAGCGAACAGGAUUAGAUACCCGGGUAGUCC